AGGAUGAAGACUUGAUCAUUCCUAGAGCUUGUCAAGACAAAUCUGUAUUUGUAAGGCAUUAAUGGAUGUUUUAUUAGUCAGUGUGAUAGUAUUUGUUGUGUUGAUUUGCAUCUUCUAAGGAGUUGGCUGGUAAUUCAAUAAAAGAGAAUUUUAGGCCUGCAGAACAGCUCUGACUACAGAACCUUGCGAACGUGAGACUUGCAAGGCUGUUGGAAGCUCACUGCCAAAACUGACACUUAGCAACAGCAGGCAGAAUGUAAAAGCAGGAGGUUUAUUUUUUCCUGUAUGUUUUACUUUAUGUAAAAAAUAUAUAUUUAUUUAGAGACAAGAGUUGUGAUUUUUCAGCAGUCCUCUUUCAUUUCUUAUAUUGCCUGGACAUACAUGUGUAAUGAAGGCUUUUACUGUGCUAAAUUAAUUGAUUAAAUUUCUACACUCGUGGUUGUGCGUCUCUCCAUUUUGUGACUGCCUAUGCGUGACAGCAUAUCCAUUUUCUGUCCUUUAUGUGAGUGAGCCCUUCACAAGGGGAACCAAAGGCUGAUGUAAAUGUGUUUCGGACAGGUGCACUGCAUACACCGAACAAGUCAAGGUCUCUUACAUUUCAUACAGAAGGUUCUUUAUAUGCAUGUAGAAAUGUAGAGUGAGAAGAUGACAGAAGUUUUCACAUCCUCCUCAGCCUAGACUUUGUGUUGUACAUUACACACAAUGCCCUGCUCCAGAACCAGUGCACCUUGGUGAUGAAUGAAGUGUUCUACUCCCAUGCUGCAAAAGGUAGAUGCUACAACCUCUGUCACUGUAAGCUUCUCCAGGAACACUCAGGGAACUAACCUGGUGCCAUCUGCCAGACACACUGGUGUGUUUGUAGGGACAGUUCAAGGACACUGCUCAGAGCUUUUGUGUGACAGCUCCAGCAGCCUUUCCCUCCGUGCUGUCACAGUCUGUCUCAGAGAAAAACGUGCCUCCAGGCCUCUUUUUGCUUCUCUCAAAGGCCCAGAGGAUUGAGCCUAGGUUCAGAAAGAGAAACCAGGAGCUAGGCUUUCUGAAGGGCUUGGCAGCCACAGUCACUUAGAUGUCUCACCUCUGCAGCAGAGCUUUUAAAAACGUGUGUGCUGAUAGACUCAAAGCCGUGUUCCAUGUGCAUCCACUGGAGAGCCUUUGCAAUGAAAUAAAGUCCAAAGUCUGCAUAAUGAAAAUAGACUAAACACCAUAGCAGUUAUGCCCUUUGUCACGUAUAAGGAUAUUCAAAUUACAGGGAUUCCUCCAAGAACACAUCAUUUUCCUAAGGGUACAUGUAAGUAAGGGUGAAAUAUUCUAUACCUCAGUAGGCAAAUGAUACUACUGCAACAUAGUGCCUAUCAGUGAGACUUGUAAGGAAGAUAAAGAGCCUCCUGUACCAGGGAGGCCACUUCUUCAAAAUGCCUAUUAUAUACAAAAACAGUAAACCCUUUUUGGCAGUGAUUGUUGGGCUUAGUGCUUUAUUUCUUUAGGAAAGAAAUUGUUUCCUAGGAAAGACUUAGGCAUUUUUCAUGAAAUUCCAGCUCAGUAAAAAGGGCUUUGUUGCAUAUUAAGAAAGUUGCAAUAUAGCAAGAAGUGUAGAAAAACUGCAAGCUCUCACCUCAGGUGCUGGGGUGCAUAGCUGUGUGGGGAAGCCGGGUGCACAGCAGCGGUGAGAGGAACAGGGGCAUGAGCAGCUCAGAGGAUGCCAGCUGCCAUCCCAGUGGCACAGAGGGGACAUAUGCCCCUGCACUAGGCAGCCUGAACAAAAAAUGGUCAGUGUGAUCUGCUCAAGGUGUCUUUCUUUCCAUGCUAUGUGAAAAGAGUCACCGUCCCACCCCUAGCUGAUGCUACCACACCAUGACAGCUGUCUGUUGUCGCAGCUUAGCCUGCUGCUGCUCUUUAGCAGCCCUCUUCUGCCUGCUUCAUUCUGUCUUUCUUUCAUUUAUUUAUUUAUUUUUAAUGCUUUUUCUAAGCCUCUGUUAUGGUUUGGAAAUCCAGAGUGAUCUUCUGUCCUCUGCAAGUCCAUAAAAGAUGUAUUCUGUUCGGAUUUCAAAACAACCCAUCAGAGAUUAAAUGAUAAUAGGUUUAUUUAGAGCCUGAAGGAACUUCCUUAUCACGUGUGAUGCAACAGCACAUGGGAGAUUAAAUCCCAGAGUACCUUUCAAGGCUAUUUUUAAUUUGUCCUCAAAUAAGCCCUGCUUUUAUUAAAGACUUUCCAAAGGAGCAGAGUAGAGCACUCUCUGUCAUUUUCUGAAAUGACUUUGAGCACUGAGCUGCGUCUACAUUUUCUCAGGCGGUGCUUAUUAUAAAAUAUGUGAAGAAAUACAACAUGAGUGAGCCCGAUACCCAGCUAUGAGUUUAAAAGGCUUUACACGGGCAUCACAAGUAUAUUGAACCUGCAGCGGGAUUUUUUUAGACUGCUCUUCUGAUCCAAGCAUCACCUGUAGAGGCGUGCAGGAACUCUGCAAAGCAGCAGACGCAGAGUGGAUGUGGGGCGACCUGGACACCACACAGAAAAAACACUUCCAUGGCGGGCAGCCAGACCCCACCUUGGCUGCUGGCAACUGGCAUGAGCAGCUAUCCCUGGCUAAUCCCUUUCAGCAGAAAGCUGCCAGUGGCACCUAGAAAAGGGCUCUGGUGGAAAAUACCUACCAGAAGAGGGUUCACAGGGCAGCUGAAAGCUGCCGAGCGGUAUGCCACCAUUGACACCCAUGCAGCUCUUGACACUGGGCAGCUGCUUAGCUGCUUGGGACAAAAGAGAGAUGAUUGAGAAAUUAAGAUAAGCUGUAGAUUUGGGCAUCUCUGGAUAUUUUCCAGCCUGCUGUCUGGAUAAAUUCAGUUUCACAUUGAAGGAGCUCCUUUUUCUCAGCAGGAUGACCUAAGCCCUUAACGAAACGGCGAGCUCCCUCUGACCUCUUGGGGCAGCCAUUACCAGCAGCGGAGCGCAGGCCCGAGCCCUGGCUGCCUAAUUCCGCCUGGAAAACCAGGGACGGGAAAGUCCGUGGCGCUACCAAACGGAGCCCUCACGAAGGGACUACUCGCGGGAGCAACCUCCAGAGGGAGCUGCGCGCAGUCAAGUGCGCGGAAGCAACCAAUUCACUUCGGCGGGUUUGCCAUUUUACACCGUUAUGGAGGACGGGCCUUGAGAGCUCUCCACGAACUCGAAACGUGUGCAGUUAGCAGCGGGUUUAAGCAACAGAUUCCCCUGCCGAGACCUCCGCGCGGUGUGCUCAGCAGCCGACCGUCACGUUGACAGCCUGCGCCGCUGCGGCCCUCGCGGUGAGGGAAGAGCCAGGCAGCCGCAGGGAGCCGCCCGCCCGCCGCCCCGCCCGCCGCCGGCCAUUGGCCGCACGCAGCCAUUACUCCCGCGGGCGGCGGUGAGGGGCUGGACUUCCUUGUCGCUGCGGCGGCAGCGGCGGGGCCGGCGGCAGGUGAGUUGGGGAGGUGUUGGUGGUGGUGUUACGGAGGAGCCCCUUGCGGAGGGCGUGAGCAUGGAGUGCCCCAGCAGGCGCUCUGACCCCGCGGGUGCGCUUUGGGGGCUGGGAGGCGGGCGGAGGGGGUGUCGGCUGGGGCCGGCUUCCUGUGUGGGGCAGCGAUAAGUGCGCAGCUGUCGAGUGCGCUCGUUCCCCGUCGCGCCUUGCGUUCCUCUACGCUGCUUCGGGCGGCGGGCCGGCCAAAGCAGGAAGGGAGAGGGGCUCGGUGGCAGCAAGCAGCGAUAAAUCCCGUCGCUGUGCGGCCGUGCUGGUACAGGAGCGCUGCUGGCUGAGUUGCUGCCUUGGCCAGGAUGGGAAACGAAGCGUGAAGCUUCAUUUGAAGCUUUGUGUUUCAGGACGCUGCCCCUUCGUGAACGUAUGGUGUAUUGACUUGCCUUUGCGUUUGGAGGGGGAAAAGAAAUCCACCCAAAUGUUAAAGCAGUCGUGGUUUUAGAAGCAUGCUAUGUCUUUGGAAUAACUAAAUUAAAUACAUGACACACCAGGCCUUUGGAAAGCAUCUGGGUGUGCCCAUACGCUCGGAUGGAAAGUGGCUGUGUUGGUUUUUGCUCCUGAGUGGGAAUGUGUGCUGCUUCAAGUCGUGCCUUAGCAGGAGGAAACAUCUCCUGCCCAUCGGCUCCCCCUGCGCAGCGCAGCAGCUUCUCGUGUGGAAAAUGAACACAAGUAAUUAAUUUAAUUAAAGUAUUUUUAGCAUUUUAAAUGAAAUUAGCAGCUGGAAAGACAACUGGGACCUGUGGGGAGCAGACUGUUCAGAAACUCUUCUAGAAAGGUAUCCUAAAUUACUAUUUAGCUCAUGAUGUACGGUGUCACUGUAGUGGUAGAGUAGUACAAUCUCUUCAGGUCCAAGGAAGCAUCGCCUUACAGGGAGUGUGAGCUUUGGGGUGGCUGCUCUUAACUGUGAAGCUACUUUUAUCUUUCGUAAGGUGAUAAUUCCUCAGGCUGGGAGAGGUGGCAGCCUUUUUUUGAGGCAGCUUAUGAAGUUCUCUAUAAAUAUAGAUACUGUGUCAUUUAAAGCAUAAGCAUGUGCAUGACUUCAGUGUUACUGUGUCCCUAUUCUUGGUGUCGGGAGUAGCGUAGCCAGUGGUGACUUCCAUUGGGCUUAUAUGCCAAGGGCAUCUUAGCGCAGCCAUCGGCUUAACAGAGCCUGUAACCUCCUGCUUUAUAAACUGGGGAUGCUUUGGUGCUUGCCCAGUGACAAUCCUGAAGCGUGGAUGACUUGAGCUGCGCUUGAAAGGAAUAGAGGCAGUUAGAAGUAAAUAGGUUAUGAUGCAUGCUUUGGAGCUCCUGUAAGAGACCUUAGCAAGCAGUUUGUGAGAGAAGAUGGCAUUUUCCAGCUGCAGUGGUUCCAUCUUCUGUCUCUCUUGGCUCGGCCCUGCCUUGGUGGAGGUGAGUGCACCUGGUGACAGGGCAUGGCCACGGGUGAGGGCAGCUGGUAGGAGAUGAGCACCCUUUGCUUAGGGCUUGGAUUAUGGAAGGCUUUAUGGCUAAUGCAGCUUGAAUUAGCACCAGGCUUUGGGAGCUGCAUGCAUGUAUUUUCUGUCUGAGUGGGGAAAUCUCCUUUUCAUGGGGAAUCUGCGGUGAUGCCUCAGAGGUUACCACUGGUGUUAGAUCCUGUGCUGACGUAGUGAGCGCUGCUGCAGUAAAUUGCCUUAGUUUAAAACUUGCCAUGGUGAGUCAUGAGGCUUGAUGUCUAGGAUAUUGCUUUUUCUCCUCUGCUCUUUCCUUUCUGCUAAUGAAAUAGGGAAGGCUUAUAAUCAGUUCCUAUUUCAAGCAGAGGAAUUCUCCAUGUCUUAUCAAUACAGCAUGUUUAACAAAUGGCCCAAACAUAAUGAGGAUGGGAGUACAAGGAAGUGUCAUUAAAAUCUUUCAGAUGCUCAUUCUGGAAUGAAGGCUGAUUCCCCAGCUCUUACAUGUUAGAAAGCUGUUGUCAUUACUAAGCUCAGACUGCGCGAUGAGAUGGUCCUCUCGCCUAUUGCUCUGUUUUUUUCCCUUCCCAUGUUGCUGUGUUCUCUGCAAUCUGAGUUUCACUGAACGCAGCCCAAAAGGCAGCGACAUGAGAGCUUUACUGCUGUCAGAGGCUGUGCUACCAGUGUGCUGCUCCAUGUGAACUGCUUUUUAUUAAAAAAAUCUUGCUGUGGC
rnacentral:lncRNA from 1 species